GGAGGGGGGUGAGACUAGGGAAAGGGGGCGCGGUAUGCGCGAAUGGCUGAGACUGCACUGGAGGACCAUCCGAGGACUCGUUUUCAGGGUUCCAGCUUCCGAAAUCACUUCUCUGGAGGCAGCGGAUUCCGCGGCGCAUGGCCCCCCUCCUCGCAGCUUCCGCAGCCUGGACCUGUGGUCACAGCUACUACGCCACCCCCAGGGCUGCGGGCCCCGGGGCUCCGCGCGCUGCGGGGUCCUCUCUACACCUGGCUGAAGCCUGGGGACAGAGGGGCGCGUUCUGGAGUCUCUGCACAAGACUGGCUCACAGCGCUCUCUCGGUUCCUCGGAAGCAUCCGGAGCUGGCCUUUCCCUCGGGCCCACCGCGCCUUAGGGGACUCGGUGAAAAGAGCUGCCUUGCCUGCUGCCUCCAGCCUGCUGUGCGGAGCGUUCCUCCUGUAGAGGUCAACUCCCCUCACCCUUUCCUCUUUCCUGCUCGCCCUCCCUUCGCCCGGCCCAGGCACUACCAGCUUCCCGACCUGCCGCAAUCUGAGGAGUGCGCAUCUGCUGCGCUGCCUUGA
rnacentral:lncRNA from 1 species